rnacentral:snRNA from 1 species
AAAUGUGAGGUUGGUCUAGCUGCCACAUCUGUCAUCCCAUCCCUUGCCAGAGUAGAUUCAAUUGUUCUGGCUGGCUAGACUGGUAUGCCCUUCCUUCCUUAGGGUUCCAUAUGCAUUUCUCUAGAUGGUGUUUGCUUGGUUGAAGGAGAUAAUGUUCAAGAUAAAGCAGGACAGUUCUUCUGUCAAGGGCAUGAAUGAUCAUUUAGUAAUUAAUGUAUAAGACAAAUACACAAAAAUAAACGUAAUUGCAUAAAUAUUUCUCAUGACAUGGAUAGAAAUAUUCUCU